UGUGUCUAAUCCUAUGUUACAUUUCAUCCGUAGUGGUUUUCAUCACAUUUAUUGUACUAUCUAAGAUUGACGUCUAAUUUUUCAGUAAAUGUGUAUUGUAUCCUCCAUGUUUUGUGCAUACUUAGAGUCCAGCACCCCAAAUAGUCCAUUGGCGAGAUUCUCCACCUGAUUUAGAGCUCCUCUCCGUUGCCGAUGAUGAUCGAACAGUUGUUGGUCAUCAUAUAACUCGCUUGCCUCUUGUUUGACUAAAUUAACUACUGUUGGGCGGGAUACGCUACAGCCUUACUAGAGUCUGCCAUAAUUGCCACAGCACGGGUGGUGUUGGCCAGGCAUUAUGAGUCGGCACAUAACCUUGGGCAUCUUCGAACAACUUCUUUAAAUAUUCAGCUGCCUACCUGAUCGUCCAGUGGUAGUAUUGCCAGUCGAUGAAUUGCUUUCGUGAAUUCUUCUGCUGACAUCCGGAGGUUGACGACUCUGACUUUCCCGUUCUUUCCAGUGUGUACCGUUACCACUCUUACUAGUGGCCAUUGCAAUGGUGGUAUAUCAUCUUUAAGUCUCCUACGGCCACUGCCUUUCGUUUCCUUGUCCAUUUUGAUCGAUUUCAAAAAUCCUGCCUGACCUUGUCUAUCUGUUUCCAUCUGGUUAUCUUAUUUCCUUUAUAUGAAU